rnacentral:rRNA from 1 species
GAUGAACGCUGGCGGCGUGCCUAAUACAUGCAAGUCGAGCGAACAGAUGAUGAGCUUGCUCCUCUGACGUUAGCGGCGGACGGGUGAGUAACACGUGGUUAACCUCCCUAUAAGACUGGGAUAACUUCUGGAAACCGGAGCUAAUACCGGAUAAUAUAUUGAACCGCAUGGUUCAAUAGUGAAAGACGGUUUUGCUGUCACUUAUAGAUGGAUCCGCGCCGGAUUAGCUAGUUGGUAAGGUAACGGCUUACCAAGGCAACGAUGCGUAGCCGGCCUGAGAGGGAGGUCGGGCACACACGAACUGAGAGACGGUCCAGACUCCUACGGGAGGCAGCAGUAGGGAAGGUGCCGCAAAGGGCGAAAGCCUGACGGAGCAACGGCCCGUGAGUGAUGAAGGUAUUCGGAUCGUAAAACUCUGUUAUUAGGGAAGAACGAAUGUGUAAGUAACUAUGCACGUCUUGACGGUACCUAAUCAGAAAGCCACGGCUAACUACGUG